AUUGAACGCUGGCGGCAUGCUUUACACAUGCAAGUCGAACGGUAACAGGGAGCUUGCUCCGCUGACGAGUGGCGAACGGGUGAGUAAUGCGUCGGAACGUGCCGAGUAGUGGGGGAUAACGCAUCGAAAGGUGUGCUAAUACCGCAUACGAACUGAGGUUGAAAGUGGGGGACCUUCGGGCCUCACGCUAUUCGAGCGGCCGACGUCUGAUUAGCUAGUUGGUGAGGUAAAGGCUCACCAAGGCGACGAUCAGUAGCGGGUCUGAGAGGAUGAUCCGCCACACCGGGACUGAGACACGGCCCAGACGCCUACGGGAGGCAGCAGUGGGGAGUUUUGGACAAUGGGCGCAAGCCUGAUCCAGCCAUGCCGCGUGUCUGAAGAAGGCCUUCGGGUUGUAAAGGACUUUUGUCCGGGAGCAAAUGCUGGUGGCUAACAUCCACCGGAGCUGAGAGUACCGGAAGAAUAAGCACCGGCUAACUACGUGCCAGCAGCCGCCGCCGUAA
rnacentral:rRNA from 1 species